CAGACUUGCACUGUGCAGUGGGGGCUUUUCGUCAGUAUCCCUGUCAGUGUCUGCUGGUUUUGAUUUAUAAUUAACUCUGACUGUUUUCGGAUCGAUUCAUUCCUCUAAGGAGAGCCAACCUGAAAUUAAGACCUGGUCCUUUACUGUUGUAUCAGGAGAAGUGGUUUCUCACAACCACAAACACACACACAAACACAGACCCCAUCCACCACAAAUACACACACCCCACCCCCUGCUACAAAGACUUUUGUGUUUGACCUGAUCUCAAGUCACACGUCUUGAGAACACCAACAGCUACAGACUGAAACAUUUUAAGCUUGCACAGCAAUGGGAAAAAUCCACUUCAACAUCAUACACAAACCUGUAUGCUUACAAGACUGGGUCAACUCAUCUUCAGAGAUUUUAAAUGGAAACAUAAGUUCAGAAGACUUAUGAUGAGGCUAUGAGUAAGAAGUUUUCAUAGUUUCACUCUGGAAAGGCCCAGCUGAAACACUCAAUCACAGUUGUGGCAAAAAAGCCGAAGAGAGACAACAUUGCUUUUCAACAUUGACAAACACAGAAAGAGCAUUGCGGAGGACAGAAAUGGUGGAGCUCAAUGUAGGAUGUGGAAGAUGUUGAUGUGGAUGCACACAGGAUCUACAGUGAGGAAUGGAGACUGUUGGGACAUCAUUUCAUGUGUUAUUUACUGCAUUUGUUUGAAAUCUUUAAUUGAAAUUGUUUUCAGACUGUUUUUAUGUUUUGGAUGCUAUUUACUAUUUUCCCAUAAUAAAGAGAAACAAACAAUUGUUGCUUAAACUAUAUAUUUUUUCGUUUUGCCCAUGGUCUGCAACCAAUCACAUCAUUCACCUGUAGGGUUUGUGGGAGGGAUAUAUUUUAAAUGCAACCAAUAUAUUGACUUUUCUGUAAGGGUUUUGGGUGAAAUAAAUCACAAGUUGACCAAUGAAAUGACUUUUGAGUGGCCCAAUAGCUGUCUGGUUUAGGGGUGGGUUUAGUUUCAAAUCAACCAAUCCAGUUUAACGCGAAUGACCAAAAGGGGAGGGCACAGUGGCACAAAGGUGUGAAUGUCCCCCUGAAAAAAAUGUUUUGAAUGGAUUACUUGCCAUGGCAACAAAUGGCUGUUGCACGGAAGAAUACCUCAGUAACAUACAUCCGAAUUGGUACAUAUUUGGCAGUAUACGGACCAUGAUAUUUCCUGUGUCUGGUUAGUAAUACUCCCGGAUUUGUCCAAAAAUCUGUAUCAUGUAAAAUCUUUUCAUGCAGUACCUCUAUAUAUACUGUACCCACCCAGACUUUGAGUUAAUUCCUCUUCAGGCACCAUCAUAACCGCUGACCCUCUUUUUCCGUUGCUGGUUAUUGUGGAGGGGCUGUGCUGGAGUUUAUCAGCUUUCAAUUUGCCAUGUUUGAGCUCUAGGGGUCACAGUGCAGUCACACUACUCUCCCUGGGUUUAUGGCUUUUUAAUCAACUUCUACAACCUCUCCUAUCUAUGCGCUGCUAGCCUGAGGGAGCAGGGGAUGUGGGAGGAUAUAGAACUGUAUCUUAAAAAAUACUGAG